UACGUAGGGUCCGAGCGUUGUCCGGAAUUACUGGGUGUAAAGAGCUCGUAGGUGGUUUGUCGCGUUGUUCGUGAAAACUCACAGCUCAACUGUGGGCGUGCGGGCGAUACGGGCAGACUUGAGUACUGCAGGGGAGACUGGAAUUCCUGGUGUAGCGGUGAAAUGCGCAGAUAUCAGGAGGAACACCGGUGGCGAAGGCGGGUCUCUGGGCCGAUAUUGACGCUGAGGAGCGAAAGCGUGGGGAGCGAACAGG
rnacentral:rRNA from 1 species